AUUGAACGCUGGCGGCAUGCCUUACACAUGCAAGUCGAACGGCAGCACGGGAGCAAUCCUGGUGGCGAGUGGCGAACGGGUGAGUAAUAUAUCGGAACGUGCCCAGUCGUGGGGGAUAACGUAGCGAAAGCUACGCUAAUACCGCAUACGAUCUACGGAUGAAAGCGGGGGAUCGCAAGACCUCGCGCGAUUGGAGCGGCCGAUAUCAGAUUAGCUAGUUGGUGGGUAAAGGCCCACCAAGGCGACGAUCUGUAGCUGGUCUGAGAGGACGACCAGCCGCACUGGGACUGAGACACGGCCCAGACUCCUACGGGAGGCAGCAGUGGGGAAUUUUGGACAAUGGGGGCGAACCCUGAUCCAGCAAUGCCGCGUGAGUGAAGAAGGCCU
rnacentral:rRNA from 1 species